rnacentral:rRNA from 1 species
GACGAACGCUGGCGGCGUGCUUAACACAUGCAAGUCGAACGGAAAGGCCCUGCUUUUGUGGGGUGCUCGAGUGGCGAACGGGUGAGUAACACGUGAGUAACCUGCCCUUGACUUUGGGAUAACUUCAGGAAACUGGGGCUAAUACCGGAUAGGAGCUCCUGCUGCAUGGUGGGGGUUGGAAAGUUUCGGCGGUUGGGGAUGGACUCGCGGCUUAUCAGCUUGUUGGUGGGGUAGUGGCUUACCAAGGCUUUGACGGGUAGCCGGCCUGAGAGGGUGACCGGCCUCAUUGGGACUGAGAUACGGCCCAGACUCCUACGGGAGGCAGCAGUGGGGAAUAUUGCACAAUGGGCGGAAGCCUGAUGCAGCAACGCCGCGUGCGGGAUGACGGCUUUCGGGUUGUAAACCGCUUUCGCAUGUGACGAAGCGUGAGUGACGGUAAUGGGUAAAGAAGCACCGGCUAACUACGUG